UGACAAAAACAAAGGUGGAUGCUCGC
rnacentral:piRNA from 1 species